rnacentral:lncRNA from 1 species
AUAAUUAAUCAUUUCCUGUCCCUCCUCUUUAGAUCUCUUCUAGCUGGAGUCUUUUGGUCUCAAGUGUGAUAUUCACUGCAGCAGGGAGAAACAAGAAGCUGGUCAGACCCACUCCUUCCAGUACUGCCUACACACUGCCUACACUUUCUCCUCACUGAAACCUUCUUGUCAUUGCAAAGGCAGUAGAGCAUCAGCACAGGGACUGUGCAGCUAUUCUGCUGGAACAUGGUGCCAACCACGACCACAGAGGUGUAAAUGGUAACACCGCCCUUCACUUUGCUGUCAGGGUUUCUAGCAAACCUCUAGUGGAGCUGUUACUGGAGUAUGGUGCAGAUAUUGAUGCUAAGAAUAAAUGGGGAUACACUCCGCUUACUCUUGCAAUCACUGAAAACCGCGAAGAAAUGGUCAAGUUCCUUCUUCAAAAAGGAGCUGACGUGAAUGCUCAGGAUGAAGUUUUUAGGACCCCUCUUACAGUUGCUACUUUUUCUGGAAAUGAGAAAAUAAUACAACUACUUCUUCAACAUGGUGCUGUUCUUCCUGAGUCAGACAAGGAACUCAACCUAUGCCAACCUUUCACCAAAAUGGUUCAAGAUAAUGUUAUUGCUGAUGAAAAAAUUGGGAGCUCCUGCUAUGAGACAACUCCUGUCAUUCCCUUGGAAACAGCUGCAUCGGCAGAAUCAUGUGCAGAAUCAGUAGAAGGUGAAAAGGAAGACAGUGAUUCCUCCUGGGGUUCAAAGGGGUCUUGCAACCAGCAGGAGCAGCAGUGAAAAAGGAAGAUACUGAUUCUCCCAGG